rnacentral:tRNA from 1 species
AGGUGAGUCCGUUAAUGGGAAAAAGGUUUCGGCCCUUUUUAUUGGAGCACGAUCUCCUCUCACCUU